UCCUGCUAUGUAUGUAACUAUCAUUCCCCCGCAUUCUGAAAUGUGCCCAGGAUCAGGACAGUAAUCGUGGUCGUCAUCAAAACCCAAGUUUUCUUCACAGCUUGGCAGCAGUUGCCUUCGAUCGCUUGUCCCGUUCAAGACCUCUUCAGAAUGUGCGGCUCUUGCACUGCUCACAUGGAGUAUCGCAAUGUGCUCCUGUGGCAAGCAGUUGCCAGUGGUGAUGUCUCUGACUUCGUUUUGCACAAUCAGUCGCUUGAAUGCUGCGGCGAACUGUUGGGCACUAGGAUUGUCGUUGCACCGUCCAUGGGAUCUGAUAGCACCAAAGAAAAGUUCGAGAUGAUCUUGGCUCACCUUAUGAGAUGCCCAAGAAUCCAGUCUUCCGAUUGGUCUUCAGUAGUGGGAUGCCAUUUGGAUGUUCUCUCAGGCUGGACAGCGCAUUUCUCACGAGCUUCAGCAUAUGACAAGGAUCCGUGAAAACGACAACAACUUCACCUGUUUCAGGGUGCUGGAAACUUGUCUUCAAAUUUUUGGGGUCACUGAAGUUGCACCCAAGCUGUCUAAACAUUGCGAAGUUUGACGGUGCCCCAUCACAAGUUAAGGAGACAACAGUCGCUCCCACUUCAUGGGCAAGGACAAGACUGCGUUGUACUAGGUCAGCCCUUUGUU